rfam:Triticum aestivum genome assembly, contig: Triticum_aestivum_CS42_TGACv1_scaffold_404764_5BL
AAAGUACUCCCUCCGUCCCAAAAUUAUUGUCUUAGAUUUGUCUAGAUAUGGAUGUAUCUAGAAACAUCCGUAUCUAGACAAAUCUAAGACAAGAAAUUUGGAACAGAGAAAGUAGUUG